UCAGCUCGUGUCGUGAGAUGUUGGGUUAAGUCCCGCAACGAGCGCAACCCCCUGUCCUUUGUUGCCAGCACGUAAUGGUGGGAACUCAAGGGAGACUGCCGGUGAUAAACCGGAGGAAGGUGGGGAUGACGUCAAGUCAUCAUGGCCCUUACGGCCAGGGCUACACACGUGCUACAAUGGCGCGUACAGAGGGCUGCAAGCUAGCGAUAGUGAGCGAAUCCCAAAAAGCGCGUCGUAGUCCGGAUCGGAGUCUGCAACUCGACUCCGUGAAGUCGGAAUCGCUAGUAAUCGCGAAUCAGAAUGUCGCGGUGAAUACGUUCCCGGGCCUUGUACACACCGCC
rnacentral:rRNA from 1 species